AACACUCAUGAAAGAUAUUCCCCCCAUCUGAUAGAUAAGACUUACAGACAGGUGCAAAAACAAAUCCUCUUUUGCAACCCAGAACUCAUUGUUCAGUAUGAGUUUUGAUACAGAUAAGAAGGAACAUG